GACGUAGGGGGCAAGCGUUGUCCGGAUUCAUUGGGCGUAAAGAGCGUGUAGGCGGCCAGGUAGGUCGGAUGUGAAAACUCGAGGCUCAACCUCGAGAGGUCAUCCGAAACCCCCUGGCUAGAGUCCGGGAGAGGAGAGUGGAAUUCCUGGUGUAGCGGUGAAAUGCGCAGAUAUCAGGAAGAACACCCGUGGCGAAAGCGGCUCUCUGGAACGGUACUGACGCUGAGACGCGAAAGCGUGGGGAGCGAACAGG
rnacentral:rRNA from 1 species